UGACUAGCAGAGGCUAGGGGGAG
rfam:Loxodonta africana unplaced genomic scaffold scaffold_58, whole genome shotgun sequence.